UACCCGCUGAAUUUAAGCAUAUCAUUAUGCGGAGGAAAAGAAAUCAAACGAGAUUCCUCGAGUAACGGCGAGUGAAAGGGGAGAAGCUCAGCGUGUAGCCUCGGGGAUGCCCUCCAUGUGAGUGUGUUAAUCCUACGAUGGGAUGCCACGUAUGGGAGAAUACUAGAAGAGUCGCGGCCCGGCAAUCCGAACUGUAAGAUGAAACAUUGCCCAAAGAGGGUGUUAGGCCCGUAGGACCGUUGUUGUCGUGACUUUUCGCGGUAUUCUCUCGAGAGUCGGGUUGYUUGAGAAUACAGCCUUAAGAGGUGGGAAACUCCAUCUAAAGCUAAAUAUUACUGCGAGACCGAUAGCGAACAAGUACCGUGAGGGAAAGUUGAAAAGGACUCUGAAGAGAGGGUUAAAGAGAGCGUGAAACUGCUACGGGGAUAAAGCGGAUACAUUAGCGUAGUCGAAAGGGGAGAUACACCUCGUUGAACGCUACCCGCCGACGUUAGGUUCGUAGGGGAUUAUCCCGAUUCGAGUUGGUUCGCGCCGACUUAUCGGUUCUUGGUUCCUCUCGUAACUUGACCCGGCGUGAGUACGCGCUUUAAAGGACGAGUCUAAUUCACACCCUAGUAGGCCGUCGCGACGGUUGGAAAGUUGUCUAAGGCGAGCGAAGGUCGUGGGAACCUUUCGUGGGCGAUUGACGGAGUUAACGCUUCGUUUUUCGUCGACGAUGGGGGACGCUUUCUCGAAUUUACUGACGGACUUUCCGACCGGAGAAAUAGACGUCGCGUUCUUCCCUUAACGGGGUCGAAGUGGACGUAAGUGCGGCGCUCGUAGCGACCAAUUUAUCCGUCCCGUCUUGAAACACGGACCAAGGAGUCUAACAUGUACGCGAGUCAAAGGGUCUACUAAACCCCUAGGCGUAAUGAAAGUAAAAUACGAAGGAUUGAUCCGUUGCUCUCCGAGUGAGACCGGCGCAAAUCCGGGACCCGUCUACUGCUUUCGUUUACGAAAGUUUCAAUGUGGCGGGUACCUUGAGCGAACACGUUGGUACCCGAAAGAUGGUGAUCUAUGCUUGGCCGGGAUGAAGCCAGAGGAAACUCUGGUGGAGGUCCGUAGCGAUUCUGACGUGCAAAUCGUUCGU
rnacentral:rRNA from 1 species